AAGCCAUGCAUGUCUAAGUAUAAGCAAUUAUACAGCGAAACUGCGAAUGGCUCAUUAUAUAAGUUAUCGUUUAUUUGAUAGUACCUUACUACUUGGAUAACCGUGGUAAUUCUAGAGCUAAUACAUGCUAAAAAUCCCGACUUCGGAAGGGAUGUAUUUAUUAGAUUAAAAACCAAUGCCCUUCGGGGCUCCUUGGUGAUUCAUGAUAACUUCUCGAAUCGCAUGGCCUUGCGCCGGCGAUGGUUCAUUCAAAUUUCUUCCCUAUCAACUUUCGAUGUUUGGGUAUUGGCCAAACAUGGUUGCAACGGGUAACGGAGGGUUAGGGCUCGACCCCGGAGAAGGAGCCUGAGAAACGGCUACUACAUCCAAGGAAGGCAGCAGGCGCGCAAAUUACCCAAUCCCGACACGGGGAGGUAGUGACAAUAAAUACUGAUACAGGGCUCUUUUGGGUCUUGUAAUUGGAAUGAGUACAAUUUAAAUCCCUUAACGAGGAACAAUUGGAGGGCAAGUCUGGUGCCAGCAGCCGCGGUAAUUCCAGCUCCAAUAGCGUAUAUUAAAGUUGUUGUGGUUAAAAAGCUCGUAGUUGAACCUUGGGCCUGGGCUGGCCGGUCCGCCUCACCGCGUGUACUGGUCCGGCCGGGCCUUUCCCUCUGUGGAACCCCAUGCCCUUCACUGGGUGUGGCGGGGAAACAGGACUUUUACUUUGAAAAAAUUAAAAGUGCUCCAGGCAGGGCCUAUGCUCCGAAAUACCAUUUAGCCAUGGGAAUAAAUUAGAAUAGGGACGUGGGGGGGUCCUAAUUUUUGGGUGGGGGUUUCCAAGGGAACCCCCCCGUAAAUGGAAUUUAAUAAGGGGACAGGUCCGGGGGGGCCAUCCA
rnacentral:rRNA from 1 species